rnacentral:rRNA from 1 species
AUACGUAGGUGACAAGCGUUAUCCGGAUUUACUGGGCGUAAAGGGCGAGUAGGCGGUCUUGCAAGUCAGAAGUGAAAUUCCUGAGCUCAACUCGGGCGCUGCUUCUGAAACUGCAGGACUUGAGUGCUGGAGGGGAUAGCGGAAUUCCUAGUGGAGCGGUAAAAUGCGCAGAUAUCAGGCGGAACACCGGUGGCGAAGGCGGACUCCUGGACCAUACCUGACACUCAGACGCGAAAGCUAGGGUAGCAAACGGGAUUAGAGACCCCGGUAGUCCUAGCCCUAAACGAUGUAGACUAGGCGUCGGAAGUUUAAUCACUUUCGGUGUCCAAGCUAACGCGAUAAGUCUACCGCCUGGGGACUACGGCCGCAAGGUUAAAACUCAAAGGAAUUGACGGGG